AUGAACGCUGGCGGCGUGCCUCAUACAUGCAAGUCGAACGCUGGAAAUCUAGCUUGCUAGCUUGAAGGAGUGGCGAACGGGUGAGUAAUACAUAAGCAACCUACCCACGAAGACUGGGAUAAUCUCUGGAAACGGGGACUAAUACCGGAUAGGUAAUCGGAAGGCAUCUUCUGAUUAUUAAAGGUUAAAAACACUGGUGGAUGGGCUUAUGGCGCAUUAGUUAGUUGGUGAGGUAACGGCCCACCAAGACGAUGAUGCGUAGCCGGCCUGAGAGGGUGAACGGCCACAUUGGGACUGAGACACGGCCCAGACUCCUACGGGAGGCAGCAGUAGGGAAUUUUCGGCAAUGGGGGAAACCCUGACCGAGCAACGCCGCGUGAGUGAUGACGGCCUUCGGGUUGUAAAGCUCUGUUGUAAGGGAAGAACGGUAGAUAGAGAAUAUCUAAAUGACGGUACCUUACCAGAAAGCCACGGCUAACUACGUG
rnacentral:rRNA from 1 species